GGGGCAUUAGCUCAGCUGGGAGAGUGCUUGCAUGGCAUGCAAGAGGUCAGGGGUUCGAUCCCCCUAUGCUCCA
rnacentral:tRNA from 8 species